UUACUUGCAGCACAAUGCAUGCACUCCAUUGAAGAGUUGUUGAAUAAGGAAACCAAACCUGAAAAGGUACAAUAUAAACAAUAAAUGUAGGAAGAAGAAAAAAACAAUCACCUAAUUUAAUUGACAUAUUGAAUGAAAUGAUGCAGAAUUAUGGUUCUACUGUGAAAUUGCUAUCAGAUCUGGAGAUAUUGAACGAGGUAUUUACCUGUGCUUUCGUCUUUCUUUCUUCAGAGCUGUUGCACACCUUGAUAUUUCAUUAUGCAUCUCUGCUGUUGGUGAAUACUACAUUGAAACGGGAGAAGAGAAUCAAGAUAAAGAGAGAGAGAGAGAGAGAAAAGAAAAGAGAAGAAAAAAUAAGCACAUACACUUGUUGUGGAAUAAUUACUAAUUAGUGCUAGGAAUAACAGAUUGCUAUUUUCUAGAGAAAGAUUUUUUUUUC
rnacentral:lncRNA from 1 species